AACGUAGGAGGCGAGCGUUAUCCGGAGUUACUGGGCGUAAAGCGCGAGUAGGCGGUGCUGAAGGUCGGGUGUGAAAGCUUCCAGGCUAAACCGGGAGAUUGCACUCGAAACCGCAGGACUUGAGGGCAGGAGAGGUACGUGGAAUUCCGGGUGUAGUGGUGAAAUGCGUAGAGAUCCGGAGGAACACCAGAGGCGAAGGCGGCGUACUAGCCUGCACCUGACGCUGAGACGCGAAAGCAUGGGGAGCAAACGGG
rnacentral:rRNA from 1 species